ensembl:lncRNA
GACAACAAACAAAUGUCGAAUUUUGUGCAAGCAAUUUAAGGUCGUGAUUCUCGUCCCAAAGAUGUUCGACUUCAUUCAGUGAUUGAACAACUCCACAGUGCUAGAGCCGCCUCUCUCUCCUCUGUCCUCAUCCUUCUGGACCUCUCUGCUGCAUUUGACACGGUCAACCACCAGAUCCUUAUUUCCUCCCUUCAGGAACUUGGUGUCUCAGGCUCUGCUCUCUCCCUUCUCUCGUCCUACCUCGACGGGCCACACCUACCUGGGGUCGUCGUGGCGCAGGGGUUAGAGAAGGUGUGCUGGGAAGCACAAGGUUGGUGGUUCCAGUCCAGGCUGCCCCAUGCUCCAUGUCGAAGUGUCCCUGAGCAAGACACCUAACCCCUAAUUGCUCCCUGGGCAAAAAUGUGAAAAGCCAUGGGAUUAAAGUGUCGUGUAAGUCGCUUUGGAUAAAAGCGUCUGCUAAAAUGACCUGUAAUGUAAUGUAACCUGGCGAGGUGUCGGAACCUUGUCCUCUUACUACGGGAGUUCCUCAGGGUUCCAUCCUGGGUCUCCUCCUUCUUGCUCUAUACCAGCUCGCAUGGCUCAGCUAUGCCGAUGACACCCAACUAAUUCUCUCCUUCCCUCACUCGUCUGACUGACAUCUCUCAGUGGAUCCGCCCACCAUCUGAAAAUCAACCCCGACAAGACUGAACUACUUCUAUUUCCGGGAAAAGAUUCUCCGACCCAGGACCUGACGGUCAACUUUGGCAACUCCGCGCUAACACCCACUCUGACUGCUAAGAACCUCAGCGUGACACAACAAAUAAUUGGAGUAAUCAAGUCUAGAAGUAACAAAUGCAGAGACAGGAAGUUCCAAAUUAUGGAUAUAAUUUGCAGGUGGAUCAAUUCCAUCCAGAGAAACUAUUUCACUAAACAAUUGAUUUGGGAGGUGCUCUGGGCCUAUCAAGAUAACCUCUGUUUAGUCUGAGUUUAACAUCAGGAAGCAUCAGGUCAUCCAGCUUUUUGUGUCCUUAAAUUCGUGAAGUUUGGCGAGCAGGUUGGUUUUGUCUGGCUUUAUUGAUAGUCCUUUGUCUGACGCAAUUAAUAAAUUGUCAUUUUCACCAGAGCUGUGGCUGUGCUGCGAUGCGCUCCCGACUCUAUAGAGAGGCCGAUAGUUAGCCAACACCUCUGGAAGAAGUUUAAUUACAGCUACCUUGAUCAUCCACUAAAAUGACCUCAUCUGUUUUAAAGACACAACUUGAUAAGAACUAUGAAAAUUCAGAAUACGGACCUGGGGCCAUUUGCAGUGUAUUAUUUUCCAAAAGCAUGGCGGUGAGAAUUCAAACACUCACGAGAGCUACUGCAACAAGCUGCCACUCACACGUCUAACAGAUAUGGAGGAAUUGUUCCUGAAGUGAGCUUUAUUUCGUCCAUUGUUACUGUAACACACCCAAUGAAGCAAACGGCUUUAUGGGGUUGACCUUUGUCUUUGUUCGUAUAAAAAGUCACCAAGUUGUUUCAACAUUUUGAACAGCCCAAUAAAGAACAAUUCACCAGCUGUAAACAUACAACAUCGUUUGCGCCUCGCCCCCCCACACCGGGACAGGAAACCCUCCAUGAAAAAGAGGUUUUGAUAUCUGCUUUGAUUCUUGUAUGUAAGGGUCCAUACCAUGAACAAUGGUGUGACUUUAUGGCUUCUUCUGGUCUCCUUUUUACACAUGGUAUAGGUGGAUCAUUCAAUAGCGUAGCACUUGUCAUUGUGAUUAAAACAUACUGGCACGGAUGAUUGAACCAGAUAUCUUCAAUAAAAUAAUCUUAUGCGCUCAAACGGGUCACAUCGAAAACACAAAAUGCAUAAAGUUCGUAUGUUGAGCUUCUAAAUAGCGUUCAUGACGUUCAUGUGUUGGACAUGUGUUCCUCUUUAGUGUGCGUGUGCAUGUGGGGGAGUGAUGCUCCUCCUCCGAGCUUCAUAACCGAGUGUCGCUGCUGCCGCCGGUCAGUGAGGCGCUGCUGAGCCCGAGGUAAGAACACGCUUCCAUUCUGCACCCGGCACGGCUGCGCCCGUUUCUUUCUUUUACUUUACUUUUCUCUUCAACUCUCAUUCAUUUUUAUUUACUUCCAACCAUCUUUGUAAACCUGCACGUUUAGUAUUUGGUCCUGUUCAUGUUUCAUGCUUGCUUGUAUGUGGAGACGUCUAAUAACCCUGUUACAGCGUCACAUGUGUGUGUGUAAUACUUGGACAUGUACAAAGCAAUAAGAGGUGUAGAUGGAGGUGAUGGAGUACUGCUGUUUGAGGGCUGCGAUCAAAGCUUGUGUCUGAAAGAGACACACACCCCCCACGCACACAUGGGCCUGAAGUGCUUUCUCCUUUGUUGGUGUCAUGAGGUCCACUAAUGAAUAAUGGAUGCUGUGUGUUAUGUGAUCUGGGCCUCAGAGAUGACGACAGGCUGUGUGAGGCCGACCCUGGAGCCUGAACAUGGACCGAUGACACAGGAAGGCAAACGCUGUAAGCACAGUACGUCUCUUUCACAUGAUAAUCAAAUGUUUACAUCUGAUCUCCGUCAGUUUACUGUAAAGAUCCUGUAGUUGUACACAAUGUGUCAGAAAACAGCUGGCUCUGCUAAUUGUAUUUUAAAACUUUGAUGUGAUUUAUUAUGUAGAGAGAGAAUGUAGAAUAGGAGAUGAUAACAAGAACUGUGCCAGUGGGCCUCCAGCAAAGUGCCUGUGACAGAGCCAGUGAUGAGGUGGCGUGACAGGAAAUCAGCUACGCUCAUCAACGGCCUCACAUGGGACACGUCUCCAAUCAGGAGUUCAGCAGCGCUGGUUGCCGGGUCAAACGCCCCCACACUGUCAAUGAGAAGUGGACGUAGUCAUCGGGGGACACCCAUUGGUUUGGGGAGCUGCCGUUUGGCGGUUUGCCCGAAGCCAUCUUGUGUUAAGCGUCUUAAUUUGGAUCGAUGUAGAAAGAGUGAAGGGAGCUUCUCUUGAAGUGCAUUCAGUGCACGUUGACCCUCCCUGAUGCCGUUAUGCUUGUACCCAGGUAUCGGAUCUCCCACUAUAUUUAAUGUCAAUCUGUUCUGCCGACAUCAGGGUGUUUUUUGAGAAAGCGGGACGAUGGCGGUCGUCAUAUUUACUGGUCGGGCCCCGUUCUCACAGAACUGCUCCGGCUGUCCUUGUAGUCGGGUCCUUUUCUCUCUCCACAGAUUUGAAUGCUGUUUGGAGUCUGUGUAAAUGAGCUAUGAACACAAUUAUUAGACAAGUGUGUAUUUAUUGUGUAAAAACCUGAACCCUGCACAGGAGCACAUACAUGUUAAAGAUCAGAAAAGGUUCAAAAGUCAGAGUAGGAAAUCAAACAGCAUCAGCUGCUCCAAACGGUUUCAACCAAAUGCAAGUGCAAUGUUCAUGGUGUGUUUUUGUCUUUGAUGGAGACGCGUGUGGUAGGUGGAAAUGUAACUGUGUGGCUGUGUGACAGAUGAGGCGGGCCUGAUGGACAGGAAGUCUGAGAUGCAGGACGAUAAAGGGGACAAGGAGUGCAAAGAGAAGCAGGCGGACCAGAAGAAACCUCGCAGGAAAGACACGCCCAUCCUCCACUGUCCUCCACAUAUACCAGGUCAGCACACACACACACUUCAUGGAGGUGUUCUGAAACGAUGGCCUUGAAGUCCAAUGUAUAAAUGUUCAUGCAAAGGAUGUGCAUCAAAGAUGGCGUCUGAAACCCUCCACUCGUGGAAGAAGAGGCUUGUGGUUUGAGAGCUUUUAAAGCACUCGGACAAACACUUGUAAGUUACAGUUGAGGAAUGUUUUCAUGCACUUUGGGUAAUCAGUUUCCUUUUUGAUCUCGGUGGAUGAUUUGCUCGUGGUUGACCUGUUGACCUUAAACACGGUGGCUCUUCACCUUGUAGCCAGAACUAAGAAAAUAAAGCUGCUGAUGUAGGAAGUAGUGGUUUGUAGGUUUUUAUGCUGUAGUCAGAUAUCAGCUCUCCAAACAAACAGCACGUACAGUCUGACCUGCUUCUUGGUUUGAAGGUGACCAGCUGCGUUUCCCUCUCCAGGAGUGACGCUGCUGAAAGCACAGAAGCAGAUGGUCCACGUAGAGGACGAGGAGAAAGACGUGAAGGAAUAAAACUUUUAUUUCCCUUUUAUUCUGUCAAUGAAUUGUCACGGUUUGAGUUCAUGUGCAGUUUUAUUUUGUAGUUUCUUGUCUCCCUGGGUAACGUCACUUCCUGCCUUGUCCUGGCUGUCCCCCGUGAUUGACUGUCGUGUCAUGAUUGUUUCCAGCUGUUUCCAAUCACCUGCACCUCCCAAGUGUAUCUAGGUCAUGUGUGUUUGUUGUCACUGGUCGCGUCAUUGUUAGUUGUUCGUUAGCUCAUGUCCAUGUCACAGUUGUUGUGGUUUCUCGACUACGUUUUACCUUCUUGGAAUUUUUGAGUUUUGGAAUUUUUGACUAUUAAAGUCUGGAAAACUCUGCGUCUGAGUCCUACCUUCCCCAACGUACCGUCCAGACAGAAUGACGCGACCAGAAGAGGAGGCCAUCUCGUGGUCGUCCGGCGGCGGAUCGCACUGGGAGCGGGUGAUGGACCUCGCGGUCCGGCUCUAGGCCACCUACGCUCUCCACGCUCGGCCUCAGCGCACGACGUCCAGCGCUGGGCCGCAGCAGCUUCCCAACACGGCCUCCCGACCCAAGCCCAUGACCCCCCCCAGCCGACGCCCCGAUCCAGGCCCACGACUCUGGUACGGACCCCCGAUUCAAUCCCACGACUCCUGUACCGGCUCCCAGAUUCAAUCCCACGACUCCCGUUCCGGCCCCUCCACUAAAGCCCCCUCCCACCUGUCCCGUGGUCCCCUCCCCCCCAUGGCAGGGGUUGGACCGGCGUCCCAGUGCCCAGCCUCCGUGUCCUGCAGCCGGCGACUCCGGAGGCUUUAUGUGCCGCGCAGUCGGCAACGACUCCGGCUUCCCUCGCCGCGCAGCCGGCAACGACGGCUUCCCGUUCCAGUGUCCUGCAGUCGGCGCCCGGGAGCCAGACUCCUGACCGUCCUCCGGGCCGACCCCCGGAGCCCCCCCCGGCAGUCUGACCGCCCGCCGGGCCGCCCGCCAGGGUUCUCUGGUGUCCCUCCCGCCCCUUGUCUGUUCCUUGCCAGGUUAGGGCCAUCUGGAAUUUGGCCCUUGAGGGGGGAGUUCUGUCACGGUUUGGGUUCAUGUCCGGUUUUAUUUUGUAGUUUCUUGCCUCUUGUCUCCCUAGGUCACGUCACUUCCUGCCUCGUCCUGUCGCCAGUGAUUGUCUGUCGCGUCAUGAUUGUUUCCAGCAAUUUCCAAUCACCUACCCCUCCGUGGUAUUAACGCCAUGUGUGUCACGUCAUUGUUAAUUGUGCGGAAGCCCAUGUCCACGUCAUAGUUCCUGUCUCCUGUUCCUCAACUACGUUUUGCCUUUCUGGAAAUUUGAGUUUGGAUUUUUUGACUAUUAAAGUCCCUUUUUGUUUCUGGAAAACUGCGUCUGAGUCCUACCUUUACCUCCUCGCACCUUCCUGACAUGAAUGUUGUUUUAUCUUAGCUUCCUGGACACUAACAGCCACACGGUGCCUCGUGCUCUGUAUUAAAAGUGUUUUGAGAAAACUUCUGUUAUGAUUUGACAGUAUAAGGUUUCGGAUCUUGAGACAUGGAGACUGGUGGGACGAACCACCACCGUCUGGUUUGUCACACAGGUUUUGGUUUCCUCACAGAUGGAGGGGGGGUGCUCCUUUCAUUGAACACAGAGGCCAGGUAAUAAUACCAAGUAGAGAGAAAGCUGCAAUUUCUACAUGAUAGGAGUCGUCAACAUUCGUACUUGUUCCAAUCACGUUAUUAAAAUACUAUGAACAAUUACCAAACAAUGUAUUACUCAGCUGCUCACUAUUGUUCAUAAAAUCUUUCUUUGUCUUAUUCUAUUUCUUCUGUUUUUGGCACUUAAUCUAUUCAGCUCAUUAUAGAGAGACUCCUCCUACCUCUUCUACUUUUUAAAAUAUUCAGCAAUAUAUGGUAUUACAUUUUUCUUUCCAUUGUUUCCGGUUGAAAAAGUCUCAGUCAACACCGGUAUCAUCAAGUAAAAGCAAGUAAAAGUGUUGGUGAUCCACCUUGGAUGUGGACGUUCAUCUUCUCCACCAGAUGAACUGGACAUCAAUGCACAACAUCUUAGAACACAACGUGUGAAAGGGUUACAGGUAUUGGAACUCUGAGACAGAUAUCCAAUCUAAGCAGGGUCAAAACCGGGAUAUCAGUCCAACGGGCAAACAAAUCCAGAGGGGCAGGCAGGGAAUCCGUAAACGAGAAUACAUUGUAAAAUGUAAUUGUUGACCUUACCUAAAAAAUGAGUGCCCUUAACUCAUUUCUGCUUAAUUUGUUGACCAUACUGAAGGAAACUUAGUAAAGUACACUUUCUGCCGCGGAAAGUUAUGAUACUUGUGAUUUCAAGUAACGUUUACUUAACCCGGAGAUACUCGGCUCUAAUACGCAUGCGCACUUGACCACCGGAGACGUGAUUUCCUUUGAGGCGGCUGCUGGAAGCGGGAAGAAAGCGCUGCUCGGUCCAGAAGGUAAGUUUCAGCUAACGUUUGGAGACCCCGACACGUUACAUGAUCAAAUGUUAUACUUACUCGUCCAUUUGACAUAUUAUUCACCUGUUAGUUAACGUUAGUUUUUUGGGGGUUAACUUAAUCUCUUCGAUUUUGAAAGUUAACGUUAGCAGUUAACAUUUAAGCUAUCGUUAGCUUUCAGUGUGAAACCUUCUAGAAUAAAUGUAACGUUAAACAUAAUAACUGUACGUUAGUAACGUUAACUUGCACUGCACUUAUACCACAUCGCGUUUCACUUAGCACUAUUACAUUUGAUGUUAAUGUUAGUUAACCGAAACAUGUAUUAACUUAUUUAACAUCCAACAGGACGGUAGCGGUUAUUAACGUAAUAACGGUUAAACAACGUGGACGCCUAACACGCGUGCACGGUUAUUAAGUACCGCACCGCAUAGCGGGAGUCACGGUAGUCAUUGCGUAAAGACAAAUGUAACGUUAGAAAAACUCUCCAUUUUAAUACUUCUUGAAUAAACCUUUUAAGCUCUCCAUCUUCUUCCAGACAAUUUGUCAAAGGGCAGCAUUAUCCAAAUUUAUGAUUUCAAAAACUUUAGUUGGUUGCACAACAUAUGGAUAGAAAUGCUCAUCAAAGCAUUGAACUUCAAGCACUGUAAUGAGAAAAAUUAACUUCCAAAUGAGUUUAUUUAUGUCAAUCGUGCUGAACAUUUUGGACAGGAGUACAUUUUGGUGUGAGCUAAUUAACAGACUUAGGGCCACUAAGUCGUAGAUGUACUCGAAGAACGAGAACACUGAGCUGAGCGGCAGUGGCGAAUUUAAGAAAUUUGGGGCCCAAGGCAAAGGCAGGAAGGGG